rnacentral:rRNA from 1 species
GUGAAGAUGCAGUGUACCCGCGGCAAGACGGAAAGACCCCGUGAACCUUUACUAUAGCUUGACACUGAACAUUGAGCCUUGAUGUGUAGGAUAGGUGGGAGGCUUUGAAGCGUGGACGCCAGUCUGCAUGGAGCCGACCUUGAAAUACCACCCUUUAAUGUUUGAUGUUCUAACGUGGACCCGUGAUCCGGGUUGCGGACAGUGUCUGGUGGGUAGUUUGACUGGGGCGGUCUCCUCCUAAAGAGUAACGGAGGAGCACGAAGG